CCUACGGGUGGCAGCAGUGAGGAAUAUUGGUCAAUGGGCGGGAGCCUGACCCAGCCAAGCCGCGUGAGGGAAGCAGGUACAGCGUAUCGUAAACCUCUUUUGUCAGGGAACAAAGGCGGGGACUAGUCCCCGGAUGAGGGUACCUGAAGCAAAAGCAUAGGCUAACUCCGUGCCAGCAGCCGCGAUAAGACGGAGGAUGCGAGGGUUCGCCGGAUUUAUUGGGUUUAAGGGGUACGCAGGCGGCCGGUUAAGUAAGCGGUAAAAGCCCGGGGCUCACCCCCGGCGAGCCGUUGAAACUGGCGGGCUGGAGUUGGAGAGAAGUACGCGGAAUGCGCGGUGUAGCGGUGAAAUGCUUAGAUAUCGCGCAGAACCCAGAUUGCGAAGGCAGCGUACCGGCUCCACACUGACGCUGAGGCACGAAAGCGUGGGUAUCGAACAGGAUUAGAUACCCCAGUAGUC
rnacentral:rRNA from 1 species